UUGAACGCUGGCGGCAUGCUUUACACAUGCAAGUCGAACGGCAGCGCGGGGCAACCUGGCGGCGAGUGGCGACCGGGUGAGUAAUAUAUCGGAACGUACCCAGAAGUGGGGGAUAACGUAGCGAAAGUUACGCUAAUACCGCAUACGAUCUACGGAUGAAAGUAGGGGACCGCAAGGCCUUAUGCUUUUGGAGCGGCCGAUAUCUGAUUAGCUAGUUGGUGAGGUAAAGGCUCACCAAGGCGACGAUCAGUAGCUGGUCUGAGAGGACGUCCAGCCACACUGGAACUGAGACACGGUCCAGACUCCUACGGGAGGCAGCAGUGGGGAAUUUUGGACAAUGGGCGCAAGCCUGAUCCAGCAAUGCCGCGUGAGUGAAGAAGGCCUUCGGGUUGUAAAGCUCUUUUGUCAGGGAAGAAACGGUAGAGGCUAAUAUCCUUUGCUAAUGACGGUACCUGAAGAAUAAGCACCGGCUAACUACGUG
rnacentral:rRNA from 1 species